AAAAGUCCGUUGAAUACUUAUUAAAUAUAAGAGUGCCAAGUGUGCAAUAUCCAACUGAUAUCCGCAAGUUAAAGCGAUGGGAUCACACUUGGCAUUGUCGUAAAAGAUGCAGACUACUCUUCAGAUAAGGCGGGGGUCUGUUUAAGAAGUGCAAGAGUAGUGUAUCGGUAUAACUCAUACCAAUUAAUAACAGGGGUGCUUGAGUGUAACUACACAGUCCAGUGGAGUUAGUACACCCAAGCUAGUAUGUCCACUUAGCGCAGUACCUCCCUCCAUGUAGUGCAUGGAGGUGCUAGCCCCAGUGCAGAAACUGAAGAGCCACACUAGCGUCCAGUUCUUGUUGGCUCCAUUGUGUUCAGCUUGUUUCUGAUGUUGUUCUACCAGUCUUGACACACAAGGUGACACUAGUAGUACUGUCAAUAUACACUAACGGCUAAAUAUCAAAGUCCUUCUUUGCCUUUAUUUGUCACUGUUAUGGUGACACAGGGCAUCAAUGUUCAUUGGGAACAUUCCUGUUCCCAAUCAGCAUUUCACAACAAGGGACGGACGUCUUCCCUGGUAACCUUGGAUAGGUACAGCUUAGGCAUCUGGAUAUGAAAGAGUUGUCUUCACACCUUCUAUACUUUGUGGGUGUAAAGUGGCAUUUGUGGGACUUAAUUAAUGUUGCUGUGAGGUAGAUAUCUAACCUAAGGUCAGAUGUAUUGUGACUUAAAAGGGCCUGUUCCACUCCACUAAUUAAUAAGACUCUCAAUUAAUAUCUGAGGUAUACACAACCACAUUUUGGAAGUCCAAAGUUAGGUAAGAUAAAUGUGAUAGCUGCAGUCUCGUCCUGUCUGAAAAGUAGAGUCGCCAUUGUUCCACAGAGCAUGAAGUUGAGGUGGGACACGUGCUUGAGAUCAAAAUGCAGCUCACUGGAAGACCUUUAUGAGUCCAUAUUCUAGAGCUUUUCAUGUGCCUGUCUUAUGGGGAAGAGAACUACAGUACCUCCAUAGGAUGUUGCUUUAAGGAGAAUAUUGUGUUUUGAUCAGGCUUCUUAUACCGCUUUUGCUGACACAUUUCACAGAUUUCGCAUUUAGGCAUCUGAAGUUUGGUUCUAGCCUAUAUAUAAGCACUAAAAUAACUGUGUCCUGAUUUCCUAAUGUGCUAACUUAUUUGGAGGCAAGUGGGCUGAAUAUCUCUGACAAGCCGGUCACUUUUAUUUAAGUCAUCGUAAUGGAAAAUUUUGGUGAGAAGGGCUCAUUGAGGUUGCGCUGCCAAGGUGAUGUUCCUUGUAAAUCUGCUUCAGGAGAGACUUCAGGAGAGUAUAAAUGUUGCUUUCCACUUAGUGAAAGAUAAAGUCUAGCAUUCUGUCACUCAAACAAAAAUUGCUAGUCCUGGUACUAUUUUGGGGGGAAUGGAGAAGACUUUGGGUGCCUUAUGCAGCCUCACUUAAAAUGAAGGGAAAGGCUAAGAAAAUGGUAAUAACUGGGAAUCCCUUAAACUAUGCACCCAUACCAUCUAACCAUGCCUCUUCAUCCUUUCUUGCAGCCGCUUACCAGAAAUAGAGCUAGGAUGGUGAACUACAGAUCAUAUGGCCUCCAGAAGUAGAAUCAUAUGCAGACAAAAAAAUGUCAGCAAUGCUGACUUCGUGCACAUGUUUGACAGCCAGCAGUGCUCUCAGAAGCGCCUGAUAUUGAGGCUUGAGGCUUAAAUUUUCUCUGUCUCCUAGCACUCUGAGGUGGAAUACUGCAGUAAUGCAGGAUCUGGUUAAUAGCUUGCUGAUGCACAACUCCUUAAGAGUAAGUCAGAGGUGUAAUUACAGAUUGCUUUGUAACUUGCCAGUUUGUGUCAUGAGUAUGGGCAUUUAAACAUUCUGUACUUUCAGACACAUUUUAUUUCCUCCUUACCACACCGUGUAGUUAGACUAAGGCCUUGCCACUGGCUAUCUCUUUACAGAAGCAGUUGGUUUAAUGUGGGAAUAUUUACAUUUCUGCAAGAAAAAACGAGAGUGUAAAAUGUAGAUACUGUAUGAGCAGGUGCACUGCAAGCCCAAGAAGAAAAUUGGUUCAGCAGUUGUUUGCCAUCAUGGUUUUAGAUUAAUUCCUACUGCAUAUCACUGCAGGACUAGCAAUGAACAUUUCUUGUACGUUUUACUGAAUUACUAUCAGUGUGAUUUUUUUUUCCACAGGGGCCUGGGAUUGGGCAAUGUUUAUAGCAGUCCAGAUGUGAAGGCUGGUUCCUCAUUAAGUCACCCUGAUCUUCUAAUCCCAGGGGUGUUCACAAAAGAAGUUCCAAAUAAAUGUCAGCAGAAGUAAGCGGAUGCAGCAAAUGUCCUUAGCGUUCCAGACCUUGAAAUGCAGCUAAUUGGUUAGGCAGAAGUAUGCGCUUAUUUCCCAUCCUAUUCAGGACAAAGUGCAAGCUUCUACCUGAAUUACUUCAAAAUCAGAUGCUUAAAUCCUGGUCUAUGACAUCUUAAGUUCAUUUUUGUGUUUCUGAUUAUGUAAAACAUACCACACUAUUCCUUUCUGUAUCUAUUCGGUAUCUGUUCAUUUUAACCUAUUAAAAAUGCAUUUUAAUGACUUCUAUUCCUGCUAGUCCUGAAGAGAUAAAGGAUCUGGGAACAGUAAUUGGGCUCUAUUUUCUUGUUCAUCAGCCUACCUGUUAGUGGCUUCCAUUGCAGAACUGCCCUUACACCAAUACAGUGAUGCCGUGUAAUGUUUGGUUCCUAAAUUGCUCUUGCAGGGCUAGGUUGGAAAAAUGCAAUCUUUUUUUUUUUUGAUCUGAGGCUUGACUGAAAUGAUUAUAUUUGUGUGUCUGUCUAGGUUCAGCUCUUCCCCCGUGGCUGUGCUGGCGGAUCACAAGUUACUGUUCUUGCUAGCGUUCACCAUUUCCUGCCAGCAUUUCUUAACUGGAAGAGUUAGUUCGAUAUCAAGAGCUCCUCCUUGUACAUGUUUCUAAUGUAGCCAUUAUCCUUGCUAGUCUGAGCACUUACCCUGUUCCAGAGGGUGCUUCUGUGCAUACUUUUCCACAUGCCUCACACCCUGUCUGGACCCUGUGGCUGUGAAACUGCACAACCUGUUAAGGUAAACUCCAUCAACAGGUUACUUACAGAAAAUCAAUGCCCAGCGAGCGCAUCCAGGAAGCCUGAGUCUGAUCACUGUUGCUGUGAGCUGCUUGUGAUGUGGAGGAAGGGAAAAUGCUCUCCCGCAGUUGUGAAGGCCACCUCACGUCUGCCAGGUAUGGGGAAGUUACUCUGACGGGGAGUUCGCCUCAUCAGCCUGGCCUGGAUAGUGGCUGUGCACCGGGAGGACUUAAUUCAUACUGCAAGUACCGGUUCUGAGUUUGGGUUGGAUCCAAUAUCAGCUAAAAUUUAGUGAAACUGCUCUCAUAUUCUGUGAAAGGAACAAGAAUUUCAUCCACAGUUGCUGAAUUUUUCAAAGUGAAGGAAAAAGGACGUUACAUAGAGGUAUCACUUCAAGAAUAUCGGAGGCCAUAAGAUGUAGGCAACAAAGGAGAAGAAGGGCUAUACAGAAGGCCUAAGGAUGAUUUGCACUCUUGUAGGAUGCUGGAGAUUCUCGGCUUGGAUGAACUCCAUGGGAACUGAGGCCAGGAAGAAUCUCGUCUCUCCUCCUUAUCAAAACCAAUGCAUCAGAUAGCUAUCUCUCUCAGAUGAUAAUGACAUGAUAUAAAUACUCUCCUAUCAUCUAAAGAGGUGUGUCUCUCUGUCAUCACCUUUUUCAUUUACUUAAACUGUGUAGUAAUAUCCAAAUCACAAGAGAAUUUUUCUAUUUUUUGGGAUGGGCUGGGCAGAGUUAAAAUUAGCAAUUCCAAUCUAUCACUUUAAUUAUAUUCUCUUCUAACAGAAACUUCAUCCUUCCAGCUCCUUGUGAGGCAGUAACAUGUGUGUACUCUUGUGAUUGACUGACCAUGCCUCUGGUUUUUGUUGUUGGUUUUGAAGUAGUUGAAGAAGCAAUACAUACUGGCAAAUCAGCAGAAUAUUCUGUACUCUGAAUAUCUAAAUAAAGUCCACGAUUGUGCAGAGGAAAGAUUUCUGAAUGCUACAAACAGAGGUAACAAGCAGAAUGGCUAUGCAGAUACCUGAUGGGUCUAUUGGUUGUCAUGGCACUCGGUGCAAAGGAGCAGAGCUAUCCCAGCCCCAUGCUGGGGGAAUUAAAAAUGAAAAUGAGAAAGAUUAGCACGACUGUCCAAAGCGUCUCCAGGAGCUGCUCCUACCCUGCAGCCGGUGCUGCAUGGCACACGCGGUACGUGGAGGGCUCCAGCCCCCUGACCUGCCUGCCGCUUGGCCACGGGUGCAGCUCAAUCCAGGCACCACAUGCUGCACGCUGUUAUUUUCCCACCCCUUAUUUAUAAAGUGCAGUUUAAGGAAUCUCAGCCAAUAUUCAUAAUUUUUAGUGAUCUCUCAAGAGCCACUCACAGGCAUUGUUCAGGGAAGGAGAGUGGUGGGCUUGUAUCACCAGUGGUCUGGGGUGGGGGAAUGUGGAGAUCUGGCUAUUUGCAGAUCACACACCCUCUAGAAGCUGUUGUCAUCAUGGAAGCUUUUGGUUUUUUUAAACUUGGGGCUAGUUGCCAAAGAAUAAGUACAACCUAAGCAUAGAUGCCAUGCUGGAAGCUUCCCAGCUGGCAGUCAGCUGCCAAUCCAGAAGGGUCUCCGUCUUCCCUAAGUUACCCAUUGUGUCGCGCUGGCCCUGGACUCGUUU